AUUGAACGCUGGCGGCAUGCUUUACACAUGCAAGUCGAACGGUAACAGGCCGCAAGGUGCUGACGAGUGGCGAACGGGUGAGUAAUGCAUCGGAACGUGCCCAGUCGUGGGGGAUAACGCAGCGAAAGCUGCGCUAAUACCGCAUACGAUCUAUGGAUGAAAGCGGGGGACCGUAAGGCCUCGCGCGAUUGGAGCGGCCGAUGUCAGAUUAGGUAGUUGGUGGGGUAAAGGCUCACCAAGCCAACGAUCUGUAGCUGGUCUGAGAGGACGACCAGCCACACUGGGACUGGGACACGGCCCAGACUCCUACGGGAGGCAGCAGUGGGGAAUCUUGGACAAUGGGCGCAAGCCUGAUCCAGCAAUGCCGCGUGCAGGAAGAAGGCCUUCGGGUUGUAAACUGCUUUUGUACGGAACGAAAAGGCUCUGGUUAAUACCUGGGGCUCAUGACGGUACCGUAAGAAUAGGCACCGGCUAACUACGUGCCAGCCGCCGCCGUAAUAC
rnacentral:rRNA from 1 species